UCCGAGUUGACCCCGGCAGUCUCCUGCGAGUCCCCGCCAUUACGCGCUGGCAACACAGGACAAGGGUUGCGCUCGUUGCGGGACUUAACCCAACAUCUCACGACACGGGCUGACGACAGCCAUGCACCACCUGUAUACCGACCACAAGGGGGGCCGUAUCUCUACGGCUUUCCGGUAUAUGUCAAACCCAGGUAAGGUUCUUCGCGUUGCAUCGAAUUAAUCCACAUGCUCCGCCGCUUGUGCGGGCCCCCGCCUAUUCCUUUGAGUUUUAACCUUGCGGCCGUAGUCCCCAGGCGGUGAACUUCACGCGUUAGCUUCGUUACCAAGGGAGUUAAUCCCGCCGACACUUAGUAUUCAUAGUUUAAGGCGUGGACUAC
rnacentral:misc_RNA from 1 species